UCCUGCGGAGGGAUCAUUGCUGGAACGCGCCCCAGGCGCACCCAGAAACCCUUUGUGAACUUAUACCUUACUGUUGCCUCGGCGCAUGCUGGCCCCCUCGGGGUCCCUCGGAGACGAGGAGCAGGCACGCCGGCGGCCAAGUUAACUCUUGUUUUUACACUGAAACUCUGAGAAAAAACACAAAUGAAUCAAAACUUUCAACAACGGAUCUCUUGGUUCUGGCAUCGAUGAAGAACGCAGCGAAAUGCGAUAAGUAAUGUGAAUUGCAGAAUUCAGUGAAUCAUCGAAUCUUUGAACGCACAUUGCGCCCUCUGGUAUUCCGGAGGGCAUGCCUGUUCGAGCGUCAUUUCAACCCUCAAGCAUUGCUUGGUGUUGGGGCACUGCCUGUAAAAGGGCAGGCCCUGAAAUCUAGUGGCGAGCUCGCCAGGACCCCGAGCGCAGUAGUUAAACCCUCGCUUUGGAAGGCCCUGGCGGUGCCCUGCCGUUAAACCCCCAACUUUUGAAAAUUUGACCUCGGAUCAGGUAGGAAUACCCGCUGAACUUAAGCAUAUCAA
rnacentral:rRNA from 1 species